rnacentral:rRNA from 1 species
GACGAACGCUGGCGGCGUGCUUAACACAUGCAAGUCGAACGGUGAAGCGCCUUCCUUUUUGGUGGGUGUGGAUGAGUGGCGAACGGGUGAGUAACACGUGAGUAACCUGCCCCCUUCUUCUGGAUAACCGCAUGAAAGUGUGGCUAAUACGGGAUAUUCUGGGUCUGUCGCAUGAUGGGUCUGGGAAAGAUAUUGUUUCGGUGGGGGAUGGGCUCGCGGCCUAUCAGCUUGUUGGUGGGGUGAUGGCCUACCAAGGCGGUGACGGGUAGCCGGCCUGAGAGGGUGGACGGUCACACUGGGAAUGAGACACGGCCCAGACUCCUACGGGAGGCAGCAGUGGGGAAUAGUGCACAAUGGGAGCAAGCCUGAUGCAGCGACGCCGCGUGAGGGAUGGAGGCCUUCGGGUUGUGAACCUCUUUCGCCAGUGAAGCAGGCCUGCCUCGUUUGUGGGUGGGUUGACGGUAGCUGGAGAAGAAGCGCCGGCUAACUACGUG